UACGUAGGGGGCAAGCGUUGUCCGGAUUUAUUGGGCGUAAAGAGCGUGUAGGCGGCUAGGUAGGUCCGUUGUGAAAACUCGAGGCUCAACCUCGAGACGCCGAUGGAAACCGCAUGGCUAGAGUCCGGAAGAGGAGAGUGGAAUUCCUGGUGUAGCGGUGAAAUGCGCAGAUAUCAGGAAGAACACCCGUGGCUAAGGCGGCUCUCUAGUACGGUACUGACGCUGAGACGCGAAAGCGUGGGGAGCGAACAGG
rnacentral:rRNA from 1 species